GCAUUUAUUUAUUUUUCUUCCUGCCUGAACUAUUGCAGUGCUCUCCAGCAUCAGUCAGAGCUCACUUCACCGUCUCCAGCUGAGUCACAGCGCUGCUGCCCUGAUUUUAACUGAUUUGGGAACUGGGCUCUGCUGGUUAUUCUGAGGUCUCAGCUAGUAAACAGAGACUUGCUGAGGCGUUAUCCAGUCUGUCCUGAGUCUGCCCCGGGGCCUCUUAUCAGUUGGACACACAUGAAACACUUCCUAGGAGGUGCCCAGGAGACAUCCUACUCAGUGACAACCAUCUGGGGAAUAAGUGAGUGAAAGUACCUGACAAAGAGAAGCCCUGGUGGAGUCCAAGACCCACUGCGAAUCAAGCCGUUCAGGAGCUGGGGAUUUCAGAGACAUCAACAUCACAUUCCAGUUCUGUGGGAAGUCACGGAGCCUGUUUUCUGUCCUUACCUGGCUCCCAGGCCUGGCAGUUUUAUUGUAUGCA